ACACUCCUACGGGAGGCAGCAGUGGGGAAUAUUGGACAAUGGGCGCAAGCCUGAUCCAGCCAUGCCGCGUGAGUGAUGAAGGCCCUAGGGUUGUAAAGCUCUUUCACCGGUGAAGAUAAUGACGGUAACCGGAGAAGAAGCCCCGGCUAACUUCGUGCCAGCAGCCGCGGUAAUACGAAGGGGGCUAGCGUUGUUCGGAUUUACUGGGCGUAAAGCGCACGUAGGCGGACUAUUAAGUCAGGGGUGAAAUCCCGGGGCUCAACCCCGGAACUGCCUUUGAUACUGGUAGUCUUGAGUUCGAGAGAGGUGAGUGGAAUUCCGAGUGUAGAGGUGAAAUUCGUAGAUAUUCGGAGGAACACCAGUGGCGAAGGCGGCUCACUGGCUCGAUACUGACGCUGAGGUGCGAAAGCGUGGGGAGCAAACAGGAUUAGAAAUCCUAGUAGUCCCAUG
rnacentral:rRNA from 1 species